AUUGAACGCUGGUGGCAGGCCUAACACAUGCAAGUCGAACGAGUGGCGGACGGGUAAGAAAUGUCUGGGAAACUGCCCGAUGGAGGGGGAUAACUACGGGAAAAGGUAGCUAAUACCGCAUACAAUCGGAUGUGCCCCGAUGGGAUUAGCUAGUAGGUGGGGUAACGGCUAACCUAGGCGACGAGCCCUAGCUGGUCUGAGAGGAUGACCAGCCACACUGGAACUGAGACACGGUCCAGACUCCUACGGUAGGCAGCAGUGGGGAAUAUUGCACAAUGGUCGCAAGCCUGAUGCAGCCAUGCCGCGUGUAUGAAGAAGGCCUUCGGGUUGUAAAGUACUUUCAGCGAGGAGGCGUUACUCGCAGAAGAAGCACCGGCUAACUCCGUGCCAGCAGCCGCGGUAAUUC
rnacentral:rRNA from 1 species